AUGGUCCCUCAAACAGCCACGCCGCCACACCUGCCGACCCCUGCGCAGCACACCCACCCCUGCGCUUGGCCGCCAUGGCGGCGGCGGCCCGGCUCCAGCGCGCCGGCGGCCACGGCGGAGGCCCCGGAGGCGGUCGUCGGGGCGGGCGGCGCGAGGUGGGAGACGAUGGGCGCGCGGGAGUACUACGACUACCGGCGGGCCAUCUACGGCGACAUCACGCACAAGGCCAUCCUCGUCGACGCCGCCGGCACCAUCCUCGCCCCCACCGAGUCCAUGGCCCAGGUGUACAGAACAGUAGGCGAAAAGUAUGGGGUGAAGUACUCGGAGGACGAGAUCUUGAUGAGGACCUCGAGGCCUCGGAGAGCCCCUCCAAACAAGACGCGCACGGGAGCUCUGCCUUGA
rnacentral:rRNA from 1 species